AUCUCAGUGAACAGACCAACCUAUACUUAGGAAAUAUUGCUGUUUAUCCACGAGUGUUGCAAGAGAAUGAAACAAACAAAGACCACAAAACCUCGACCUGGUUGAAUAGCCCCAACACCAAUAUUAUCAAUGGUUGUCACAGCAAUUAUAAAACCAUAUCUAGAACAGUUCCCUCCACUUCAGUGAAAAGUUUCUGCUUCACUGUCUGCAGCAAAUUUGGACCAAAGUACCGAGGAUGAAGUAAUAUCUCGUGUU